rnacentral:rRNA from 1 species
UACGUAGGGGGCAAGCGUUGUCCGGAUUUAUUGGGCGUAAAGAGCGUGUAGGCGGCCAUACAGGUCAGCUGUGAAAACUCGAGGCUCAACCUCGAGACGUCGGUUGAAACCGUAUGGCUAGAGUCCGGAAGAGGAGAGUGGAAUUCCCGGUGUAGCGGUGAAAUGCGCAGAUAUCGGGAAGAACGACCCGUGGCGAAGGCGGCUCUCUGGGACGGUACUGACGCUGAGACGCGAAAGCGUGGGGAGCGAACGAGG